rnacentral:misc_RNA from 1 species
GUAGGUGAACCUGCGGAAGGAUCAUUAACACGUAUCCAACGUUAAACAACCCCGUGAACCUUCAGCCUGCUCUCGUAGCCCACUCUACCGCUCGAUCGUAACUGUAACUUCUCACAUCGUAACAGAGGUCCCGAAUCAAAACUGUUCGUCAAUGAUUUACCGGGAUUGCUGUUGCCGUGGCAUGGCGUCCCCAAGCAGAAUCCAGAGAAUGAAAGGAUUACUGGCUGCGCAAGGAUAACGCCUCACGGUU